rnacentral:rRNA from 1 species
UACGUAGGGUGCGAGCGUUAAUCGGAAUUACUGGGCGUAAAGGGUGCGUAGGCGGUUCGUUAAGUCUGUCGUGAAAUCCCCGGGCUCAACCUGGGAAUGGCGAUGGAUACUGGCGAGCUAGAGUGUGUCAGAGGAUGGUGGAAUUCCCGGUGUAGCGGUGAAAUGCGUAGAGAUCGGGAGGAACAUCAGUGGCGAAGGCGGCCAUCUGGGACAACACUGACGCUGAGACGCGAAAGCGUGGGGAGCGAACAGG